CUGAUAUUCACUUUUAGCGAUGAUUUAGGCUCUAUAAUAAAAGGCUGCGAAGAAGGAGCACAUCGUCUUCUAUCGUGUGUCGGAUUCGAAGACAAGAAGAAGGCAAAGCCAGACAAAAUAAUGUUCGAUCGAUUGCACAAUUGUUGCGAUCUAGGCCUCGACGCAGUACAACUCUGUAAAACCAUCUGUGUUGCGCACCAAACAACUAGUACUAACGCCAACGAUCAAAACAAAUAAGAGGCAGUAUUCGAUGGGUCUUCCUCCGAGACUUCGCUCGUGAACAAUUUACAUUAGCCCUUGCACACAUCUAAAUCCAUAUCGGUCCAACACUUUUAGCCCGUUACCGCUAGACUUCGGUGUUCCUGCAUUCCUUUUUAUUUACACACAAAGCUGUUUCAGUGCUGUUAAACACGCGGAGUGCUGUACGAACGUUUUAAGAGAUAAACAGAUCGAUGCUUAUUGUCUUUGGUCCUAGAAAAACGUGCCCUAACGUUCGAACAUGUUUUCUAGUCAGGCUAAAAGUGUUGGUACAAACGGAAGGUACGUGUCUAAACAUCAUCUAAGAAUCGAACUUCCUAAAUGAAUACGCGUCGCGUUCCUUUUAUUUUUACAUCAGCUACGAAUACUACUCGAAAUUGACAAACAAAUUGUAACGGUCGCGAUCUUCUAAGCUCUCGUCUUCGACAUUAAAUAAGGAGAUUGAGGUAGAAUUUGGUGCACAUGUCAGGUGGUUGCGACGACACAUCAACGUGUUCGUUACCGAAUAUAGUCAGUGCCUUUUAGUUUCAUAUCGUUAUCGAUACUGCGCGAUGGUAGUCACGCGUGGAACCGUGCACGGAGGUUCGACGAUUCAAAGUGACGAUAGUCGAUUGGAUACACGGUAACAAUUUGAAUGAUCAAUGAAAAUAAAGGACCGAGUAGGACCUCGAACAAGAAGAA